UCACCACUCAAGCCUGGCUUGGUGUUGGGCGACGUCCCCUUUAGGGACGCGUCUCGAAACGCUCGGCGGCGUGGCACCGGCUUUAAGCGUAGCAGAAUCUUUCGCUUUGAAAGUCGGGGCCCCGUCUGCUGGAAGACCUACUCGUAA
rnacentral:misc_RNA from 1 species